rnacentral:piRNA from 1 species
UGACCAAGGAGUAGCUGCGUGUGGGAGGU